UCUUCUUUUAUAAGCUGUGCAACCGGUCCAUCACAACAAUGGUGAUCCCCAAACCCUUAAGAACUAAACCCAAAUCUAGAUCCCUAAUCUGGCUACUCACAAUCACCAUCUCUGCAAUCGCACUGCUCUACCUCUUCUCAUAUCUACUCUCAACCACUGGAUCAAACCCACUCCAAACCCCCAUUUUACAGUUCAACAAUAAUAAUAACCGCGAAGGUCUCGGUCAUCAUGAGUCCAGCCUCCGUUAUGCUAUUGAAGAAGCAAUUUUGUUAAAAAGGUUUGAUCUUUAAGUUAUUUUGUUGAAUUCAAGUGUUGUUGGAAUAUUUCACUUGUUGUUCAGUUAAAAGUCAGACAAGUGAAAAACUCCACCUUCAAGAUCGUUCAUAGAAUUUUAAGGAGUUUUUAGUUCAUCUUCAAACUGGCAUCAAUUCUUGGAAAGUUCGAGCAGUUGGAGAAGAGGGAAGGACUGAAUGGAGAAGAUGAAGAAGAUGGGAGGACUAAAUUGUUUAAUUUGGGGCUUUGAGAGGGAUGGUAUAUGCUAUAUUAGAUUAGAAAAUACGCGAUGCCGAUAUUGCCCUUCCUUAUUUAAGUAAAAAGACAACAAUACCCCUGUCAACUAACUGUUGACUAACAGAAGUUUGAUGGAGGGACCUGGUUGCAAGUAAUUGACAACCACAGAGACCGGAGUGUUGCUUUUUUUUUUUUUUAAAUGAGGGCUGAAAGUUUAAUUUGGUGUAAACCCCAAGGAAUUAAAUUGUACU